rnacentral:rRNA from 1 species
GAUGAACGCUGACAGAAUGCUUAACACAUGCAAGUCUUUGGCGAAUCUGUGCUUGCACAGGCUAGCCAAGGCGGACGGGUGAGUAACGCGUAAAGAACUUGCCCUGCAGACAGGGAUAACAGACGGAAACGACUGAUAACACCUGAUACAGUUGCCGGCACGCAUGUGCCUGGCAAUGAAAAGAGAUGCUGCAGGAGAGCUUUGCGUCCUAUUAGCUUGUUGGUGAGGUGACGGCUCACCAAGGCGAUGAUAGGUAGCCGGCCUGAGAGGGUGAACGGCCACAGGGGAACGGGGAAACGCCCCUAACUCCUCGGGGAGGAGGAAGGGGGAAAAAUGGGACAAUGGGGGAAACCCUGAUCAAGAAUUCCGGGGGGAACAAAGAGGGUUUCGGACUGUAAAGUGCUUUCAGCAGGGAAGAAGAAAGUGACGGUACCUGCAGAAGAAGCGACGGCUAAAUACGUG